rnacentral:rRNA from 2 species
AAGUUUUGGAAUGAUACUUCGGUAAAGUGAAGGAACGGAAAGCGGCGGACGGGUGAGUAACGCGUAGGUAACCUGCCCCAUACACAGGGAUAGCCUAGGGAAACCUGGAUUAAUACCUGAUGAUGCGAGGGAGUCACAUGGCUUCUUCGCCAAAGAUUUAUCGGUAUGGGAUGGACCUGCGUCUGAUUAGCUGGUUGGUGAGGUAACGGCUCACCAAGGCAACGAUCAGUAGCCGACCUGAGAGGGUAAUCGGCCACAUUGGAACUGAGACACGGUCCAAACUCCUACGGGAGGCAGCAGUGGGGAAUAUUGCACAAUGGGCGCAAGCCUGAUGCAGCAACGCCGCGUGAGUGAAGAAGGUCUUCGGAUCGUAAAACUCUGUCCUUAGGGAAGAAACAAAUGACGGUACCUAAGGAGGAAGCCCCGGCUAACUACGUGCCAGCAGCCGCGGUAAUACGUAGGGGGCGAGCGUUAUCCGGAAUUAUUGGGCGUAAAGAGUACGUAGGUGGUUUUGUAAGCGUGGGGUGAAAGACCGAGGCUUUACUUCGGUUAGCCUUGCGAACUGCAAGACUUGAGUGCAGGAGAGGAAAGUGGAAUUCCUAGUG